UACCAGCUCUCCGAGUGGUAGGGAUGAUUAUUGGGCUUAAAGCGUCCGUAGCCGGCUUAGCAAGUCUCCUGUUAAAUUCAGCGACCUAAUCGUUGAGCCGCGGGAGAUACUACUGGGCUAGGAGGCGGGAGAGGUCGACGGUACUUCUGGGGUAGGGGUGAAAUCCUAUAAUCCCGGGAGGACCACCAGUGGCGAAGGCUGUCGACUAGAACGCGCUCGACGGUGAGGGACGAAAGCUGGGGGAGCGAACCGGAUUAGAUACCCGGGUAGUCCCAGCUGUAAACGAUGCGGGCUAGGUGUUGGGGUGGCUACGUGCCACUUCAGUGCCGCAGGGAAGCCAUUAAGCCCGCCGCCUGGGGAGUACGGCCGCGAGGCUGAAACUUAAAGGAAUUGGCGGGGAGCACCACAAGGCGUGAGGCUUGCGGUUC
rnacentral:rRNA from 1 species